AAUACAAGGCAGACGGCUCAGUAACACGUAGUCAACCUACCCUAUGGACGAGAAUAAUCUCGGGAAACUGAGCAUAAUUCUCGAUAGAUCAUAAUGCCUGGAAUGGUUUAUGGUUAAAAUGAUUCGUCGCCAUAGGAUGGGACUGCGGCCUAUCAGCUUGUUGGUGAGGUAAUGGCCCACCAAGGCGAUUACAGGUACGGGCUCUGAGAGGAGAAGCCCGGAGAUGGGUACUGAGACACGGACCCAGGCCCUAUGGGGCGCAGCAGGCGAGAAAACUUUGCAAUGUGCGAAAGCACGACAAGGUUAAUCCGAGUGAUUUCUGCUAAAGAAAUCUUUUGUCAGUCAUAAAACCACUGACGAAUAAGGGGUGGGCAAGUUCUGGUGUCAGCCGCCGCGGUAAAACCAGCACCUCAAGUGGUCAGGAUGAUUAUUGGGCCUAAAGCAUCCGUAGCCGGCCUUGUUAGUUUUCGGUUAAAUCCAUGUGCUCAACACAUGGGCUGCCGAAAAUACUGCAUGGCUAGGGAGUGGGAGAGGUAGACGGUACUCAGUAGGAAGGGGUAAAAUCCUUUGAUCUAUUGAUGACCACCUGUGGCGAAGGCGGUCUACCAGAACACGUUCGACGGUGA
rnacentral:rRNA from 1 species